rnacentral:rRNA from 1 species
GUCUACAGCCAUGCCACCCUGAACGUGCCCGAUCUCGUCCGAUCUUGGAAGCUAAGCAGGGUCGGGCCUGGUUAGUACUUAGAUGAGAGACCACCUAGGAAGACCAGGUGCUGUAGGUA